rnacentral:rRNA from 1 species
UACGUAGGGUGCGAGCGUUAAUCGGAAUUACUGGGCGUAAAGCGUGCGCAGGCGGUGAUGUAAGACCGAUGUGAAAUCCCCGGGCUCAACCUGGGAACUGCAUUUGUGACUGCAUGGCUGGAGUGCGGCAGAGGGGGAUGGAAUUCCGCGUGUAGCAGUGAAAUGCGUAGAUAUGCGGAGGAACACCGAUGGCGAAGGCAAUCCCCUGGGCCUGCACUGACGCUCAUGCACGAAAGCGUGGGGAGCAAACAGG